AUGCUCCUUGCCACCUCCUCGUCGCGUGUUCUGAUCAAUGGGGUGCCUGGCCGGCCCAUAAUCCACUGUUGCGGCUUGCGUCAGGGUGACCCUCUGUCGCCGUUCUUAUUCAUCCUCGCCAUGGAGCCCCUCCAACAGCUUCUCGAUGUUGCAGUGGACACAGGGGUCAUCUCCAAGCUCUAGGGUCGGCUGCCGCAGCUGCGGGCUUCCCUCUACGCCGACGAUGUUGCUCUCUUCCUCAACCCCGUGAAGACCGAGCUGGCAGCUCUCCGCUCCAUUCUUACUGCUUUUGGCCUGGCUUCC
rnacentral:rRNA from 1 species